rnacentral:tRNA from 1 species
AAAGUUGUAGUUUAAUCCGGAAAAAUAUAUUCCGACCGAAUAAGUUGUCGGUUCGAUCCCGACCUUCUUUU